ACCCGUUGAUCCUGCGGGAGGUUGCUGCUAUUAGGAUUCGACUAAGCCAUGCAAGUCAAGGGGGCUUUAUGCCACCGGCAGACUGCUCAGUAACACGUUGAUAACCUUCCCUUAGGUGGGCAUAGCCUUGGAAAACUGAGGAUAAUUCCCCAUAGGAGAAUUCGUCUGGAAUCGAGUUUUCUCCAAAAGCUACGGCGCCUAAGGAUGGGUCAGCGGCGGAUUAGGUUGUUGGCGGGGUAACUGCCCACCAAGCCGAAGAUCCGUACGGGCCGUGAGAGCUGUAGCCCGGAGAAGGACACUGAGACACUGGUCCUAGCCCUACGGGGUGCAGCAGGCGCGAAACCUUUACAAUGCACGAAAGUGUGAUAAGGGAAUCCUAAGUGCUUAGCUUAGCUAGGCUUUUGCCAAGUGUAAAUAACUUGGCGAAUAAGUGGUGGGUAAGACGGGUGCCAGCCGCCGCGGUAACACCUGCGCCACGAGUGGGAAUCGCUAUUAUUGGGCCUAAAGCGUCCGUAGCCUGUCUAGUCAGUCUCUUGUGAAAUAACCGGACUCAAUCCGGUGACGUGCAGGAGAUACUUCUAAACUCGGAACCGGUAGGGGUAAGAAGUAUUUUUGGGGGAGCGGUAAAAUGCUAUAAUCCCAGAAAGACUGCCAAUGGCGAAGGCAUCUUACCAGGACGGAUUCGACGGUGAGGGACGAAAGCCAGGGGAGCGAUCCGGAUUAGAUACCCGAGUAGUCCUGGCUGUAAACGCUGCGAGCAAGGUGUCGCACAUCCUACGUGGAUGUGCGGUGUCGAAGUGAAGACGUUAAGCUCGCCGCCUGGGAAGUAUGGUCGCAAGACUGAAACUUAAAGGAAUUGGCGGGGGAGCACUACAAGGGGUGCGGCGUGCGGUUUAAUCUAAUUCAACGCAGAGAAUCUCACCAGAUGCGACGGCAGGAUGAAGGUCAGUCUGAAGGGCUUACCAAACAAGCCGAGAGGUAGUGCAUGGCCGCCGUCAGCUCGUGCCGUAAGGUGUCCUGUUAAGUCAGGCAACGAGCGAGACCUGUGCCUAUAAUUGCUAACGGCUUCAUUGAAGGACCGAGCACUUUAUGGGAACUGCCAUGGAAACAUGGAGGAAGGUGCAGGCUACGGUAGGUCUGUAUGCUCCGAAUCUUCUGGGCAACACGCGCGCAACAAUGGUACGGACAAUGGGAUACAACUCCGAAAGGAGAAGUUAAUCCUCGAAACCGUAUCUCAGUUCGGAUUGAGGGUUGUAACUCACCCUCAUGACGCCGGAAUCCCUAGUAAUCGGGUGUCAACAUCGCCCGGUGACUAUGUCCCUGCUCCUUGCACACACCGCCCGUCAAACCACUCGAGCAGGGCUUAGAUGAGAGUAAGUUUUUUGAUUUACUCGAAUCUAAGCUCAGUGAGAUGGGUUAAGUCGUCACAAGGUA
rnacentral:rRNA from 1 species